ACUGACUCAAUUCCUGAGUUUUCGUGCCUAAUAUUUUACUAAUUUUUUUAUGAUUAGUAUUUUUAUUGUUGCUAGAUGAUAAAACAUACGUAACUUAUGUUUUAAUUUUUUUCAUAAUUUUUUUAAAUAAGACGGAUGGUCAAACGUUGGACACGGAAAACCAGGAAUUAAGUUAUU
rnacentral:pre_miRNA from 1 species